CUAGUCGCACGAGUUCACACUCGUGGCGGAUAGCUCAGUAACACGUGGCCAAACUACCCUACAGAGCGGGACAACCUCGGGAAACUGAGGCUAAUCCCGCAUACCGCUCUCAGGUUUGAACAACAGAGAGUUCCAAACGCGACAGCGCUGUAGGAUGUGGCUGCGGCCGAUUAGGUAGACGGUGGGGUAACGGCCCACCGUGCCCAUAAUCGGUACGGGUUGUGAGAGCAAGAGCCCGGAGACGGUAUCUGAGACAAGAUACCGGGCCCUACGGGGCGCAGCAGGCGCGAAACCUUUACACUGCACGCAAGUGCGAUAAGGGGACUCCGAGUGCGAGGGCAUAUCGUCCUCGCUUUCGUGUACCGUAGGGAGGUACACAAACAAGAGCUGGGCAAGACCGGUGCCAGCCGCCGCGGUAAUACCGGCAGCUCGAGUGAUGGCCGAUCUUAUUGGGCCUAAAGCGUCCGUAGCUGGCCUCGCAAGUCCGUCGGGAAAUCCACGCGCUCAACGUGUGGGCGUCCGGCGGAAACUCCGAGGCUUGGGACCGGAAGGCUCGAGGGGUACGUCCGGGGUAGGAGUGAAAUCCCGUAAUCCCGGACGGACCACCGAUGGCGAAAGCACCUCGAGAAGACGGAUCCGACAGUGAGGGACGAAAGCUAGGGUCUCGAACCGGAUUAGAUACCCGGGUAGUCCUAGCCGUAAACGAUGCUCGCUAGGUGUGGCACAGGCUACGCGCCUGUGCUGUGCCGUA
rnacentral:rRNA from 1 species